UGCCUGAGUGUGGAGUAGAGAUAAGCCAUGAGAACUGUAAUACUGAACAGUUCCAGGAAGACAUCUCAGGAACUGCAGAUGGUACUUUCCUGUGGAGGGAAAAAACACUAGUAUCUGAAACACCUACAUAAGAGGCUUUAUGUACAUGACCCCAUUUUAUUUUCACUCCUUUGUCAGAUACUGUCUAAUUUCCUUAGUUUUUGCCUAAAUGCUCCUGGCAGCUCAGGCUCUGCUUGAAAGUCUGGGUGUGCCAUUUUCCUACUCCUUGUGAGGUGGCAUCUGGGCCAGCCUUGUUAGCAGCUUCCUGGUGGCAUGGGGAGUGAGCCCUCAGUUCCACAGGAGUGCCCAGGAUCACUGCUGCCCUCUGCUGCAGUGGGGUGUUAUUGGAGCUGCUCUUCAGAUUGAGGUGAUAAAGCUGCCAAAGGCUGAAGGGCUUCUGGGGCCACUGGCCCCCCACACGUGACAUACUGCCUGAAGACAUCGUGAUGGGGAGUGAGGCAGAUGAGAACGCUGGAAUCUGCAUUCCUCUUGUCCUUACCCUUCUCUUCCCUCCCCUUUCCCUUUCUUAGCAAGACUUCAAGGACUGCAUUCGUAGGCAAAGGUUGACCCAAUCAAAGAUAAAAGAAAAUCGACAGCAAAUCGUUCGUGCUCGAAAAUAUUAUGAUGAUUAUAGAGUUCAGUUGUGUGCAAAAAUGAUGAGAAUGAGGACCCGGGAAGAAAUGGUAAGUCUGACUUUUCUGUCCAGCCCUGUUAAGAAGGUGAACUUUGUUAUCUUUCAGGACCACCUUCUUUGUUCGUGACUCUUGUCCAAAUUUGAAUCCAAAAUCUAAACUGAAGUCCUAUAGUGCUGGCCCUGAGUUCUGCUUGGCCACACUUCAUUUUCUUACUCCAUUGUGCAUUCCCGUCCAUUCUCAGUCUCCGUGUCCCUCAUCUUAAUGUGAAGUCUUACUUCCUCCCUGCCUCCUACACAUAACAGGUACUUCUCCAGUAAAACUACUUUAGAGGUUUGGGAACAUGUGAGAGACAAAUUUAGUGUGAUAACAUGACCUUGCAUUCCACAUAAAAUCAGGACUAGUGUCCAGCUGUGCUGUGAGGGGUUUUCCACAAGGAUGACAUUUGCUAUGUCAUCCUAAUCAGGCUGUGAAAUGAUUAACCUUUUGAGAUCCCAAGCUAGCAAUAAAUUUCAUCUGUAAAAUAUUUUAGUAAUUAUAGUUUACUAAAGACUUGGACAUAUUUCUAGAGGAAGGCUUUGAGGAGAGCGUAAGUAACUUGUCUGUAGCUCAUGAAUGCGUCGCCGUCAGAACCAGUUUUUCUAUCCAGAAUUUACACUGAUGAAGGGAGGACAAGUGCGCAUAUCCAAGCCCUUUGAGCAGUGUGUUUUCCGGUGGCCUCCCCAAAUGAUCACUCCCCCUCCUCAGUGAUGUACAUGUGUAGGUGUGGCAUGUUUCUGCUCUUGGCGUUCUUACCCUAUGUACAUGGCUGCUUGACACUGCUUUUCUGAAGGUUGUAAAGAACCUCUGUGAUACAUGAAAAGAUAAUGAACACCUUCGUCAUUAGGGAAAUACGACUCAGAACCACAGUUAGAGGACGAGUGUUGGCAAGGAUGUGGAGAACUUGGGGCUGUAAAAUGGUGCAGCUGCUUUGGAAAACAAUCUAGCAGUUCCUCAGAAGGUUACCAAAAGGUCAUAUAGAGUUACCCUAUGACCCAGCAAUUUCACUCCUAGCUAUAUAAUCACACAAAAAACACAAAUGUUCAUAGCAUUACUUAUAAUAGCCUAAAAGGGGAAACAACCCAAAGUGUCCAUCAGUUAAUGAAUGGAUAAAGAGUGUGCAUUCAUUCAUACAGUAGGAUGUUACUUGGCAAUAAAAAGGAAUGAAGUAUUCAUACAUACUGCAGUAUAGAUGAACCUUGAAAACAUGCGGAGUGAAAGAAACCAAAUACGAAAGGCCACGAAUUACAUGAUUCCAUUUUUAGGAAGUGUCCAGAAUAUGCAAAUCCAUGGAGACAGAAAGUACAGACUGGUGACUGCUAAGGAUGGGACAGGGGGAAUGAGCACUAGUCAGUAUACGGUUUCUUUUUGGGGUGGUAAAAAUGUUCUGUAGUGGUGAUGGUUGCACAACUGAGUAUAAUAAAACAUACUGAAUUAUUUAUUUUAAAAGGGUAAGGCUGGACUCAGUGGCUCACGCCUGUAAUCCCAGCACUUUGGGAAGCUGAGGUGCAAGGAUUGCUUGGGACCAGCCUGGGCAACAUAGUGAGACGUCAUCUCUCCAAAAAAUUAAAAAUUUAGCCAGGCGUGGUGGCACAUGCCUAUAGUCCCAGCUAUUUGGGUAGCCAAGGUGGGAGAAUUGCUUGAGCCUGGGAGGUCAAGGCUGCAGUGAGUUGUGACUGCCCCACUACACUCCAGCCUGGGUGACAGAGCAAUAACCUGUCUCAGAAAAAGGAGGUACAUUUUAUGGUAUGUCAAAACAUCUGAAUAAAACUAGUAUUUAAAAAAAAAAAACCUUGGGAAAUACAAUCAGUAUAUACCUCUAGUUGGCCAAAAUGAUAUUCCUCAAUGACUAUUUUUACGAUUAAAUAACUGACAGAUAUUUAAGAAACUGUUUGAAGAAGGUUUAAACAUUCAAAAGCAAAGAUUACGAGACCUAAGAAACUAUGCCAAAGAAAAGCGAGAUGAACAAAGGAGACGCCACCAGGAUGAACUGGACUCCAUGGAGAACUACUAUAAGGACCAGUUUUCAUUGCUGGCAGAAGCCAUAUCACAGGAACAUCAAGAACUUAAAGCCAGAGAGAAAUCUCAGGCCCAGGUAAUAAUUAAGAUAGAAGCCAAGUCAUGCACUGCAUGGCAAUGUUUCUUUCAGCAAGGGACCUCGUACAUUGGUGGUUGGAGCAAUAGGCUGUAUCAUAUAGCCCCGGUGUGCAGUGGACUGUACUCUCUAGGUUUGUGUAAGUACACUGACAUUUUGCACAACAACAAAAUCAUUUAAUGAUGCAUUUCUUGGAACAUAUCUCCAUCAUUAAGUGACACAUGACUAAUUUACAUUUUUAGGAAGUAGAAAACCAAAUGUAUUAUACCUGUAAAGGGAAUGGAGAGAAGACUAAUAAGGCAAUCCAUCUAUGACCCAAGACAUUUUUAUCCUAUGAUUUUAACUUUAGUUAGGUCUCUGUAAGAGCUGCUGUUGCUAGAUUAUUGAAAAUUUUGGAGGAGUUUGAUUAGCUGGAAGAUGGAGAGGGAACAAUAGAUGAGGGCCUGGAUAAAUGCUGUGAACAGCGGGAUGACAUGCCUUCUUUUUUCAGACAUUACAUAAGGUGAAGAGGGAGCUGAGAUCUAAGAUGGAGAAGGAAAUUCAGCAGCUGCAGGACAUGAUAACACAGAAUGAUGAUGAUGUUUUCUUCCGGGAACUGGAAGCUGAGCGCUUCAGAUCUCGGCUUCAGCUGGCUUCCUUUCAGUACAGUAAAAGUCCCUCCCUAUGAGGCCAGACUUGAUAAUAGUAGGUGAAGGUUCUGGAGGCCUUUACCAGGACAGAGCUAGAAUCGAGCCAGUAAACAGUCUAAGCCAGAAAAAUAAUUUUCAAAUGCUUUACCUGUAUUUUCAUUCCAGUACUUUUUAUGAUUUUUUAAAUAAAAAUUGUUUUCUAAAAGC
rnacentral:lncRNA from 1 species